UGUCCACAGUGUACUGCACUGCCACUUGGGGAGGGGGGUGUUACAGCUGGAGAUCCAGGCGCCAUCGGCAUCCACCAGCAACUGAGCAGCUUUCUGCCUGUGGCCCUCCUCCACUUGCAGGCGGAUGCCCUGGAUGCAACAAACCAUCUGUCCGGGUUGUCUCAGUGUCGGGACAUCUCCUUCUCGUCACUCGGAGAACGGGUACAUCAUUAUGAUCAAGUACAUAGAACAGAUAACUAUGGUAGCCAGAAGACAGAGCAACUAUAGCAGGAAAACCAAUUCAACAAUUUAAGGUAUAAGGCAAUCAUUAAGGAUCUGCUACAGUUAAAAAGAUCGUCUGUGAUGAUGGAACGCCAGUCACCGAUCCCCGUAUCCCAUCACAUAUUCAGCAAGACCAUGACUUCUCUGAUGCGAUUCACCACAUCCGGAAUGCAGUUUGCUUCGGAGGCAAGAAUGCCAGCAGACAACUGCUCUGAUCAGCUCAAUGAAGCGGGCACUCCCGGGAAAAAAACAUUUAGAUAGGGUGAGAGCCAUCUGAGAUGAUGUCUUUUCACGAGAAGAGAUGGUGCACAACAGCACCAAAGGGAAGGGUCCUGGACUAGGGCUGCUAGAUGAGAACAAGUUGGAGGCUAUCAUAGAAUUCAUGGCGAUCAUCGAGGAGAGGCCUCCAGAGCGCGGACGACACUAAGUUCCGGAGGGAAGUAGAGGGUGCCAUAAAUACCAAGGCCAAGAGCGUGCGUGGCCACUGCAAGGUAGGUCAAAGAAGGGCUAAGACGCUAAGUCUUUUUUUUAUUUUUUUUAUUCACACGUAAAAAUAGGUAACUAAUACGCUAAGUCUUUUUUUAUUCGCACGUAAAAAUUUAUUAAGGAUUUUGUAUUGGACGAAUCUAGUUACAGGGCCAAUAGUACUAAAAACUAUAGAAGUAUAUACUGGAAUAGAGUUACCAAGGAGGUACAGCCAUGCCAUUUGUACACCAAAUGGACUAACAUCAAAACCACCUGAAAGUCGACUAGAGCUAGAGAUUUACGUCCACUAGAGCUCAGGCGAAAUAGCAAAAGGAUUGCCCUUUUCUUUUGCAAACCUGCACCUGCAAUAAGCCCUGGGGCAAGAAUUUGCAAUUAACUUAUUAUUGUCUACCUUUAUUUUAUCAGUAGGCAGCAAUCAACAGGUCCCUGUAACUAAUGGUCCAAUCUAAUGUGUCAUGGGCAAUGAUUGAGGUGAAGGUGAUUUGAUGUGACUUACUUUCACUCUGUUUAGGUAUGGAGAAAGCUACAGGAAAAAGAGGGUUCUCCAGAUGCCAGAAAGUGAAGACAAAGCAUGCUGAGACAACUCUUGAUGGUGGGCCCAGGAAGCGCCGUGUAAGACACGUCACACCAUCUACAUCUACCCAGACAACUUCACAACCACAAGCUAGUACUUUAACCACUCCAGAGUUCCCCAUUCAGUUGCAAGAUAUCCCUGAACCUGUAACAUUACCACCACGAUCACAGAUCACUUAUACAAAACAGAGGAGAAAAGAACUAGAAUCAUGGAAUAAGGUUAGAGAUUAACACUUUGUAACGAACAUAGAGCUGUCGGCCCCUCUAUGCCAUACCUGCUCCAUCUGCGGCAAAGGAGAGUUGGUGACAUUCUUCCGGUGCAGGGAAUGUGGGCCGACAGCAGUAUUCUGUACCACAUGUCUGGAAAAACAACACCGCAACUCAUUCCACAUUCCAGAAAUAUGGGAGGUUGGUUGUCAUUUAAAUACUUAAUUGGACGAAUAGGAAAAGCAAGUUUCAGUUGCCACCAGAUAACACUUUUCUGCGAAGAAAAAUAAAUGGAUGGACAUCACAACCGUUCUAUAGCCCCAUGUAGUUGUAAUGUGCCAAACCCGAACGGUGAACUGCGCAUCAUGCUGGUGAAGCUAACAACUGAACUAAAUUACUUUGUUG